rnacentral:rRNA from 1 species
AACGAGCGCAACCCUUAUCCUUUGUUGCCAGCGGUUCGGCCGGGAACUCAAAGGAGACUGCCAGUGAUAAACUGGAGGAAGGUGGGGAUGACGUCAAGUCAUCAUGGCCCUUACGACCAGGGCUACACACGUGCUACAAUGGCAUAUACAAAGAGAAGCGACCUCGCGAGAGCAAGCGGACCUCAUAAAGUAUGUCGUAGUCCGGAUUGGAGUCUGCAACUCGACUCCAUGAAGUCGGAAUCGCUAGUAAUCGUAGAUCAGAAUGCUACGGUGAAUACGUUCCCGGGCCUUGUACACACCGCCCGUCACACCAUGGGAGUGGGUUGCAAAAGAAGUAGGUAGCUUAACCUUCGGGAGGGCGCUUACCACUUUGUGAUUCAUGACUGGGGUGAAGUCGUAACAAGGUAACCGUAGGGGAACCUGCGGUUGGAUCACCUCCUUACCUUAAAGAA